rnacentral:antisense_RNA from 2 species
UUCUAUGGGGAUUCAGGCAGGGGAGGUUUCGACCUCGCCGGAUGAGUGUCCCGGUAUUGCAAACCCUGUCUGGAUCGCCACCAUC